GACAGAGGGUGCAAACGUUGUUCGGAAUUACUGGGCGUAAAGCGUGUGUAGGCGGUCCGCUAAGUCGGGUGUGAAAUCCCUGGGCUCAACCCAGGAAGUGCACUCGAAACUGGCGGGCUAGAGUAUCGGAGAGGUUGGUGGAAUUCUCGGUGUAGAGGUGAAAUUCGUAGAUAUCGAGAGGAACACCGGUGGCGAAGGCGGCCAACUGGACGAAUACUGACGCUGAGGAGCGAAAGCGUGGGGAGCGAACAGG
rnacentral:rRNA from 1 species